UCAUAUAUAUAUGCCCCUUUGGACACUCUUCUUUGCUUUUUUUCUAGAGGAUUGCGUCAUAAUUCAUUGCCUGUGCUAUCAAUUGGAGAAGAUUCAAGAAUUCUUAUCCCAUGAAUUUCUUCCUCACUUGUAAAUUUAGUCUACUCUGCACAAUCUUGACAUAUUCAACCUUGUGAAGUGAGAUAUAACAUAUAUCCCUAGCCCUUUUAAAUCUAGUCAUGUAUCUUUC
rnacentral:lncRNA from 1 species